rnacentral:rRNA from 1 species
GAUGAACGCUGGCGGCGUGCCUAAUACAUGCAAGUCGAGCGAACGGACGAGAAGCUUGCUUCUCUGAUGUUAGCGGCGGACGGGUGAGUAACACGUGGAUACCCUCCCUAUCAGACUGGGAUAACUUCGGGAAACCGGCGCUAAUCCCGGAUAAUAUUUUGAACCGCAUGGUUCAAAAGUGAAAGACGGUCUUUCUGUCACUUAUAGAUGGAUCCGCGCUGCAUUAGCUAGUUGGUACGGUAACGGCUUACCAAGGCAACGAUGCAUAGCCGACCUGAGAGGGGGAUAGGCCACACGGGAACGGAGACACGGUCCAGACUCCUAAGGGAGGCAGCAGUAGGGAAUGGUCCGCAAUGGGCGAAAGCCUGACGGAGCAACGCCGCGUGAGAGAUGAAGGUCUUCGGAUCGUAAAAAUCUGUUAUUAGGGAAGAACAUAUGUGUAAGGAACUGUGCAGAGAUUGACGGUACCGAAUCAGAAAGCCACGGCUAACUACGUG